rnacentral:rRNA from 1 species
CCUACGGGGUGCAGCAGUGGGGAAUAUUGCACAAUGGACGAGAGUCUGAACCAGCCAAGUAGCGUGAAGGAUGACUGCCCUAUGGGUUGUAAACUUCUUUUAUAUGGGAGUAAAAUGUUCCACGUGUGGGAUUUUGUAUGUACCCUAUGAAUAAGGAUCGGCUAACUCCGUGCCAGCAGCCGCGGUAAUACGGAGGAUCCGAGCGUUAUCCGGAUUUAUUGGGUUUAAAGGGAGCGUAGGUGGAUUGUUAAGUCAGUUGUGAAAGUUUGCGGCUCAACCGUAAAAUUGCAGUUGAAACUGGCAGUCUUGAGUACAGUAGAGGUGGGCGGAAUUCGUGGUGUAGCGGUGAAAUGCUUAGAUAUCACGAAGAACUCCGAUUGCGAAGGCAGUUCACUGGACUGCAACUGACACUGAGGCUCGAAAGUGUGGGUAUCAAACAGGAUUAGAUACCCUUGUAGUC